rnacentral:rRNA from 1 species
CCUACGGGAGGCAGCAGUGAGGAAUAUUGGUCAAUGGGCGGGAGCCUGAACCAGCGAAGUCGCGUGAGGGAAGACGGUCCUAUGGAUGGUAAACCUCUUUAGGCGGGGAGCAAUGCCGGGCAAGCGUGCCCGGAGGGAGAGUACCUGCAGAAUAAGCAUCGGCUAACUACGUGCCAGCAGCCGCGGUAAUACGGAGGAUGCGAGCGUUAGCCAGAUUUAUUGGGCUUAAAGGAUUCGUAGGCGGAUUUUUAAGUCAGCGGUAAAAUGUCCGGGCUCAACCCGGGCCGGCCGUUGAAACUGGCGAUCUUGAGUGGGCGAGAAGUAUGCGGAAUGCGGGGUGUAGCGGUGAAAUGCAUAGAUAUCACGCAGAACUCCGAUUGCGAAGGCAGCAUACCGGCGCCCGACUGACGCUGAGGCACGAAAGCGUGGGGAUCGAACAGGAUUAGAUACCCUGGUAGUC